rnacentral:tRNA from 1 species
CGGAGUGUGGCGCAGUUGGUAGCGCACCAGGCUGGGGGUCUGGUGGUCGUCGGUUCGAGUCCGACCACUCCGA